rnacentral:tmRNA from 1 species
GGGGGCGACUGGUUUCGACAUGGUACGUCCGAAAUGAGGAGCAGGCCGUGGUCUCCUCGCCACGUAAAACAGGGGUACCGUCAAUUUAAUUGGCAAAGCUAAGACUCAGAGCGCUCCGGCGCUCGCCAUGGCUGCUUAAUAGCACCAGGCUGUCGGCCUUAGGAUUUCCCCGCCCUUUGGUCCGGCAUCAACCUAGGGGAAUGCGCUCGAGCACGUAGCCGGUAUGGCUCGGGCAAAGAUCGAACCGGCUAGGAAGCGCAACGCCCGUCGGCGGACCGCGCGCGACCGAAUGCUGAUCGCCGACUAAGCUUGUAGGGCCUCAUGGACGAUGUAGUAUGGACCGGAGUUCGAUUCUCCGCGCCUCCACCA